CGUUGGGGAGGAAGUUGACUAUUAUAGAACUGAAGCCAAAGGUCAUGAUCAAAUGAUGAGAUAAAGAGAUGAAUAAUCGAACUAUUCAGAAAAAGUUUCUGCCACAAAGUAUUACAAAGAACCCUAUCAAGUCUCUCUUGUAGUUGGAUGUGCAUCCAUGUAAAAUGAUAAUCAAAGAAACCAAUAUUAAUUGGAUUGUAGUCCUAAAAGUAAUUAGUAAAAGCUGUUGCAGAG
rnacentral:lncRNA from 1 species